GCACAAUAUUAAUACAUAGCCAAGUGUGCUGGUGAAUUUCUUAUUAUUGCUUUUUUAAUAUUAGAAACCUUGAAUAAAUAAAGAGGUAGAACAAAUGGUUAACUAUUUGCAAAAGAAAAAAUUCAAGUAUCUUUUUUCUAAUGACCGUUGUAAAAAUGCCAAUUAUUUGUGGUCCCAAGUAUAACAGAGCAAUCCUUUUAAUCUUAGUUUUUAUAGGUGUAGGCAGUUAAUAUUUGCUGUUAUGGGAUAGCAGAAGGUUAUUAAGGAAGAGGAGGUGAAGAAUAUCGUCUCUGUCACUUUUUUUUAGUGAAAUUGCAGCAGUUAACUUUGAGGAGCUAUUGGCUGCAAGUUACUUCCCAUUGGACAGUUCUGAUUUCCUUAUUUUCUAAAAAAUGCCCAGCUGUUCCUGUAAAUACUCCUGAUAAAUGAAUACUGGGUGGGCUUUUAGGUUCUAACUACUAGUGUUUUACUGUGCAUGAAAAUAACAAACAUUUUUGACAAGUACACACAGUGAAAAAUGCUGUUUUUGAUGACACAGACUGUGCUGUUCUAUGAAGGACAAACAUCAUACUGGAAAGACAGAUACAUCAUUGGUUUAAGAAAAAAACUUGUACUGAAUGGGUCACACUGGUUUUGUUCUACACCCUGCAGUUUUGUCUGUCCUGUGCACUAGUCCACAAACAGGUUUCUGUAUGGGCUUCUUUCUGCUCUUCACAGCCACCUUCACUUGCUAUGUGUAUACGUUAUUGUAGCUUUUCUUAAAAAAACCCAAACAGAUUCUCUACAAAUUUGUCAAAAUGCCUCUGAAAUUAUAUUCUCAGGUUACUCUGU